UACGAAGGGGGCUAGCGUUGUUCGGAAUUACUGGGCGUAAAGCGCACGUAGGCGGAUUUGCCAGUCAGGGGUGAAAUCCCGGGGCUCAACCUCGGAACUGCCUCUGAUACAGCAAGUCUUGAGUCCGGAAGAGGUGGGUGGAAUUCCUAGUGUAGAGGUGAAAUUCGUAGAUAUUCGGAAGAACACCAGUGGCGAAGGCGACACACUGGCCCGUUACUGACGCUGAGGCGCGAAAGCGUGGGGAGCAAACAGG
rnacentral:rRNA from 1 species